AGGGCACCACCAGGAGUGGAGCCUGCGGCUUAAUUUGACUCAACACGGGAAAUCUCACCAGGCCCGGACACCGGAAGGAUUGACAGAUUGAGAGCUCUUUCUUGAUUCGGUGGGUGGUGGUGCAUGGCCGUUCUUAGUUGGUGGAGCGAUUUGUCUGGUUAAUUCCGAUAACGAGCGAGACUCUGGCCUACUAAAUAGACGUUAGAUCCCUUUGUGGGUCUAUCGCAGCUUCUUAGAGGGACGGGCGGCGUUCAGCCGCACGAGAUUGAGCAAUAACAGGUCUGUGAUGCCCUUAGAUGUCCGGGGCUGCACGCGCGCUACACUGGAGGAAUCAGCGUGCUUGUUCCAUUGCCGAAAGGCAUUGGUAAACCCUUGAAAAUCUUCCGUGAUCGGGAUCGGGAAUUGCAAUUAUUUCCCUUGAACGAGGAAUUCCCAGUAAGUGUGAGUCAUCAGCUCACGUUGAUCACGUCCCUGCCCUUUGUACACACCGCCCGUCGCUGCCCGGGACUGAGCCGUUUC
rnacentral:rRNA from 1 species